rnacentral:rRNA from 1 species
CCUACGGGAGGCAGCAGUAGGGAAUCUUCCACAAUGGGCGAAAGCCUGAUGCAGCAACGCCGCGUGGGUGAAGAAGGUCUUCGGAUCGUAAAACUCUGUUGUUAGAGAAGAAAGUGCGUGAGAGUAACUGUUCACGUUUCGACGGUAUCUAACCAGAAAGCCACGGCUAACUACGUGCCCGCCGCCGCGGUAAGACGGAGGUGGCUAGCGUUAUCCGGAUUUAUUGGGCGUAAAGGGAACGGAGGCGGUAGUUUAAGGCUGAUGUGAAAUCCUUCGGCUUAACCGGAGUAGUGCUGUGGAAACUGGAAGACUUGAGUGCAGGAGAGGAGGGUGGAACUCCAGGUGUAGCGGUGAAAUGCGUAGAUAUAUGGAAGAACACCAGUGGCGAAGGCGGCUCUCUGGUCUGAAACUGACGCUGAGGUUCGAAAGCGUGGGUAGCAAACAGGAUUAGAUACCCGAGUAGUC